CCUACGGGAGGCAGCAGUGAGGAAUAUUGGUCAAUGGACGAGAGUCUGAACCAGCCAAGUAGCGUGAAGGAUGACUGCCCUAUGGGUUGUAAACUUCUUUUAUAUGGGAAUAAAAUGUUCCACGUGUGGGAUUUUGUAUGUACCCUAUGAAUAAGGAUCGGCUAACUCCGUGCCAGCAGCCGCGGUAAUACGGAGGAUCCGAGCGUUAUCCGGAUUUAUUGGGGUUAAAGGGAGCGUAGGUGGAUUGUUAACUCAGUUGUGAAAGUUUGCGGCUCAACCGUAAAAUUGCAGUUGAAACUGGCAGUCUUGAGUACAGUAGAGGUGAGCGGAAUUCGUGGUGUAGCGGUGAAAUGCUUAGAUAUCACGAAGAACUCCGAUGGCGAAGGCAGCUCACUGGACUGCAACUGACACUGAGGCUCGAAAGCGUGGGGAGCAAACAGGAUUAGAUACCCGAGUAGUC
rnacentral:rRNA from 1 species